GCAACUCUCCAGCAAGAAUGUCAAUGGUUUACGGGCUGGUUCAGCCCACUUCGUGACUAGCAGGGUGGAGGAAUUUCACAAAAUCCGCACCUCUGGAAAAAGGGAAACAGGGGACCCCAAAAUAAUUGAAAACAGCGGCAACGAUCUGAGGAGAAACAAACUAAUUUACUAAAUACGAUAUCGGAAUGCAAGCCUACGUUACAUCCCUGGGUGCUUGGGUAGUGUCAUGUGAGUACCCCCUGAGUUGACCAUCUCCCUCAAGACAAAAGAUUUUGCAAACCUUGCCCAAGGCCUUGUCCAUCAGUGUUCUCCAAACAAAGGAUUUCUCAACCCUUGAUCAGGACUUGCUUGGACUUGUGACCUGUGGAACACCACUCAGACUCACAGAGAGUCAGAAUGAAGAAACCAUGUCAAUAUGUAUGAAACAACAGGAUGUCACCGUUUGCACAUAUGUCAUUGAGAUCUAGG